rnacentral:tRNA from 1 species
GGGCGUUUAGCUCAGUUGGUUAGAGCGCUUCGUUUACAUCGAAGAAGUCGGGGGUUCGAAUCCCUCAACGCCCACCA